UCCAUCUUGAUUUCUCCAACUUCUGUGUCC
rnacentral:piRNA from 1 species